rnacentral:lncRNA from 1 species
UUCUCCUCCACCACCAUCGCCGACAUACGUAUACAAGUCACCACCUCCUCCAUCACCCAAAUACGUGUACAAAUCACCACCUCCUCCAUCACCUAAAUACGUGUACAAGUCGCCACCCCCUCCAUCACCUGAAUAUGUGUACAAGUCCCCACCCCCUCCAACCCCAACUUACGUGUACAAGUCACCACCACCUCCAUCACCUGAAUACGUAUACAAGUCCCCACCACCUCCAUCACCGAAGUACGUGUAUAAAUCCCCCCCACCGCCACCAUACUACUACAAGUCCCCCCCACCUCCAUCACCUGAGUACGUAUACAAGUCUCCCCCACCUCCAUCCCCAAAGUACGUGUACAAGUCCCCGCCCCCUCCAUCACCUGAAUACGGGGACAAGUCCCCACCACCUCCCUCACCCGAAUACGUGUACAAGCCCCCACCCCCUCCAUCACCUGAAUACGGGGACAAGUCCCCACCACCUCCCUCACCCGAAUACGUGUACAAGCCCCCACCCCCUCCAUCACCUGAAUACGGGGACAAGUCCCCACCACCUCCCUCACCCGAAUACGUGUACAAGCCCCCACCCCCUCCAUCACCUGAAUACGGGGACAAGUCCCCACCACCUCCCUCACCCGAAUACGUGUACAAGCCCCCACCCCCUCCAUCACCUGAAUACGGGGACAAGUCCCCACCACCUCCCUCACCCGAAUACGUGUACAAGCCCCCACCCCCUCCAUCACCUGAAUACGGGGACAAGUCCCCACCACCUCCCUCACCCGAAUACGUGUACAAGCCCCCACCCCCUCCAUCACCUGAAUACGGGGACAAGUCCCCACCACCUCCCUCACCCGAAUACGUGUACAAGCCCCCACCCCCUCCAUCACCUGAAUACGGGGACAAGUCCCCACCACCUCCCUCACCCGAAUACGUGUACAAGCCCCCACCCCCUCCAUCACCUGAAUACGGGGACAAGUCCCCACCACCUCCCUCACCCGAAUACGUGUACAAGCCCCCACCCCCUCCAUCACCUGAAUACGGGGACAAGUCCCCACCACCUCCCUCACCCGAAUACGUGUACAAGCCCCCACCCCCUCCAUCACCUGAAUACGGGGACAAGUCCCCACCACCUCCCUCACCCGAAUACGUGUACAAGCCCCCACCCCCUCCAUCACCUGAAUACGGGGACAAGUCCCCACCACCUCCCUCACCCGAAUACGUGUACAAGCCCCCACCCCCUCCAUCACCUGAAUACGGGGACAAGUCCCCACCACCUCCCUCACCCGAAUACGUGUACAAGCCCCCACCCCCUCCAUCACCUGAAUACGUAUACAAGUCUCCACCACCUCCAUCACCGAAGUACGUGUAUAAAUCCCCACCACCGCCAC